CCCCUUAGAUGUUCUGGGCUGCACGCGCGCUACACUGAAGCUAUCAACACGUUUUCCCUCCCUGAGAAGGGCGGGUAACCUUUUGAAUCAGCUUCGUGGUAGGGAUCGGGGCUUGCAAUUGUUCCCCGUGAACCAGGAAUUCCUAGUAGACGCGAGUCAUAAGCUCGCAUCGAUUAAGUCCCUGCCCUUUGUACACACCGCCCGUCGCUACUACCGAUUGAACGUUUUAGUGAGGCAUUUGGACCGACGCAUCUCAGUUUAACCGCUGGUUUGUGUUGGAAAGACUUCCAAACUUGAGCGUUUAGAGGAAGUAAAAGUCGUAACA
rnacentral:rRNA from 1 species